CUCAUGAACGCUUGAUGUUGAUAACUAACUGCUCUUCGGUUGACUCACGAAUCUCCGGUGCUAGCCUGGUGACUGACACGACACACAAUACGUAUGCAAUGAAUCAGUGAAUACAGGCUGAGGCAGGAGAUGACUGUGAGUUCCAGGCCAGCCCGGGCUAAAGAGUGCUACCCUGUGCCAAAAAACAAAAGAAAGAAGGAAAGGAAGGAAGGAAGAAAGAAAUGCUCUCCUUAAAUGACUACAGGGGACAAGAUCCCACUCCAGGAGGAAGAGUCUCCUCCUUCCUCUCAUAAGGACAGCAUCUCACUGUUAUCAUCCUCACUCUGCGAGGCCCAGAUGAAAGGCAUUGCCAUGCCUUUCAUCUUGGAGGAAAAACCAAGGCCUGAAUGUCCUAGAAAGUCCUGGCCACUCCUCACACUCCCUCCUGCUGUCUUCCAAAGACCCACAGACUCAUUCUGAAUAGAUAUGCAUUUCUGUGGAAGUAUGAUAAAUCAGAGGAACCGUAAGGGAAAGCAAAAUCUGCAUUUUAUCUCAGUAAUCAAUCCUCACCACGCCUCCUCCUCGUCUCUGUGGACAAAAGGGGACUAGAGCUCAGACAUUCACAAACCUCUAACUAAAUCUGAAGAAAACAGACUUUACUACAUGUGCUGUUACAAACUACAGACCAAAAACCAGGAAAAAAAUGGACGUUCGAUUUUUAACCCAGCUCAUAGAUUUUCCUUCUACUUACUCUCUCUAGAAGACCCAAGUGCCAGUUUCUAUCGCUUACGUAGUGUUCUCUACGAAACAUCUCUGGGGCUGGCAGUUGGAUUUUUCCUUCUUCUAGUAACUUGUGAUCAAAUGAAGAGUGACGUGGAUCCCAUGAUAACAUCGUGAGUCACUAAGACCAACUCUCCGGUAAGAGCCACCACAUAAAGACACCCCUCCCUGUUCAGAGUAUGAGUGCAGUUUAUCCUUCCCCAAAUGUGGCUCCACCACAGCCUUCCGCUGAGCUGAGAGGCCACAACCCCACGCUGGACCCCGAGUCGUGUAGAAGGGGAAUGGAGUUGCCUUAAGAAACCAACAUUACAGUAAUAUGAAAGAUCCCGGAUUGUGGCAGGAUAAAUAUUAUGUCUGGGAAGACAUCCACAGCAAGGAAUUUUACUUCAGAAAAGCUCUAUUUUCAAAAUGGGCAGGUUCUGAGCUGCCAGGAGGCCACGUAAACAGCAGAUUCCACCAAGAAGUGAAACCCUUUCCUGACAGACCAUAGAACACUUGGCUUUAGGGGCAUGAGUGUCACUGUCACUGGGGAAGACAUCUUACUGUCAAUGACAGAAUGCCCUCCAAUCCCGCAUAAGUGAUUACAUUCACUAUGUACCUAAUGGUUCAACAAAGGCCUGGAUUGGCCUUUUAAAUUGAUCUACUUUCCUAAACCCAACCAACCAGGUCCUGAGUCUACGGAUAUCACCAUCACCAAAACAACAGAGGGGCACAAGAAAACGCCAGCCUUGUGGUUCCCUUGUAUAUUUCCUGACUAUCUGUUGAGCAUAAAACUUGGUGCUAAUCUGGCACUCCAUAGUCAAAGCUACAUUCCAAAUUUGCACAUUUUGGCACCCACACAUCCCAGAAGGUCUGCAAGCAAAUUGGAAACUUUACACUGCACACGGAAAUCUGGGCAUGCGUGCAUUCUUUUCCGUUCUUGGAAAAUGUCUUUUAGAGGAUUUUCAGAAUUAUCUAUGACAUUUCCCAACGAUUAAAAAUCACAUUCUUGAGCCGGGCGUUGGUGGCACACGCCUUUAAUCCCAGCUCUCGGGAGGCAGAGGAUCUCUGUGAGUUCGAGACCAGCCUGAUCUACAAGAGCUAGUUCCAGGACAGCCUCCAAAGUCACAGAGAAACCAUGUCUCAAAAAACAAAUCAACAACAACAAAAAAAUCACAUUCUUAGAACAAAUGGGAAUUGGCCAUGGUUUCCCUCCUUACAAUCACAGUGACUGAUACAUUCGGUAGUGUGGGCUUCAGCUCUCGGUGAAAACAUGGAAGCUAUGUUGUCUGAUGGAUCCAUUCACUGGCAGCUAAUAAAAUACUCUAGUAUGGAA